rnacentral:lncRNA from 1 species
CGGGCCCAGACGCCUGCCCAAGCCGCGUCACCUGUGCCCCUGCGGGCAGCGCUGGGUUUCAUGAACCUGCCCCGUGCGCUUCGCCUGCAGUUGUUCUCCCGCCCGGGCAGCUCGUAAACACAUUUUGCCGGGGAAACUGCCCAUCCUUCGAGGUCACCUCGAAAGGCCCUGCCUAGCUCACUGCGGUGACAGCAGCUGCCGUUCACACCCACCAGCUCCCAGCGGUAUCAGUCACCCGGGCCUCGGUCCCGGAAUCUACAGGCGGAGUCUCAGGCGAGAGCGCCCGAGGCACAGCCAGGCCUGAGACCUCNNNNNNNNNNNNNNNNNNNNNNNNNNNNNNNNNNNNNNNNNNNNNNNNNCAGCCUGGCCUUGGCGGGUCCUCAGCUCCUUCUGCAAGUCACACUGCAGGCGCGUCUGCCUCGAGCUCCAGCCUGGCCCCUCGAGGCUGCUCCGUAAACGCUAGCUGCUGGCUUGUCUCUCGCAUUCCUUUCAAACAACCCUGAAAUAUUUCACAGCGCGGGAUCUGCAGCUCGGAGAGGUGUAGCAGACGGGACUCGCACCAGAUGUGCCCGACCACAGAGCCUUCGUCCCGUGCUCCGUGUCUCGGGCGGGAUUUGACAGCCAGUGGUGGGGAGGCCCUGUGUCUCGGGCGUCUCUGCAUCCCGAUGCCCAGUGCGGUAAAUGUCGUCUAGCAAGCCCUCAACAGGAGUGACGAGAAGACCAGGGGAGACGCACACACACAGCGAUUCCCUGGGCUGCCCCUGGCCUGGAGCAGCGCUGAACAGCAGCUGGGGACAUCUCCAAAGAGCCGUCUCUCCUCACCCCCGGAAUCCUGCAAAGGCUGCCACCUCCUGGAAAGACGGGGGAACUGCAAUGGAGAGGGACAUGAGGAGAAACUGGAAACCAAGAACUCAGUAACAACUUGCUGCUCUCCACUCGGAGUGCAGAACAGUGAUGAGGGAGAACUUGCACGAUGCCUUGGAACCCUCCGGACUGAGGCCGCAUCAGUCUGUAGCAGGAGCAGCUGUCCUAUUUCUCCUGUUCUGGGUGAGAGUCUUCCUGAAAAUGUUUUUUCCACAUAGAAGGAUAUUUUGCUUACAAUCUUCCUUAAUUUCUUCCCCUGAUAAUUUAAAAGAUAGCUCUAAAUAUGGACCUACAUUUAAGAAGAUAUUUUUCUCCUUUUGAAAAAAAAAAAAAGUCAAGGGAUGUUUGGUUAGACAUUUGAGGCUUUUAGUUUUGGAGACAAGUAGAAAAUAAGUUUCCACUAAGUUAAUCUAGAAACUUAAAUUUAUAUUCAUCAAGCAAGUUCAAGUUAAGGCCAGGUGUGGUGGUGCAUGUCUUUAAUCCCAGCACUCGGGAGGCUGAGGCAGGAGGAUUGCAAAAGUUCCAGGCCAGUCUGUGCUACAUAGCGAUUUCAAGGCCAGCCUGAACUAUAUAGGGAGACCCUGCCUAAUAGACAGAGGAGGAGGAGGAGGAGGAGGAGGAGGAGGAGGAGGCAGCUUAAAGUUAAACUACAGAACAUAAUUACUUCAACCUGUAAAGAUUUUUCAUAAUGUUUUAUUUAAGCAAUCUUUUAGGAACUAUCUGUUGUUUCAAAGAAAGUUUUGUUCAAAUACACAGUCUCUUCUACUUUAUGGCAACUGUCCUGUUUCUCUUAAAUUUGUUGGUAUUGGGGAUCGAACUCAGGACCUUGUGCUUUUGAGGCAGGUGCCGGAACCACUGAGCUAAAUCCCCGGCUGGAAAGAGAAUUUUAGUAUCAUUUAAAUCUACUUUUUUACUAUUUCAAGAAAUAGUGAUCACCUGUAAUCCCAGCACUCAGGAGGCUGAGGCAGGAGGGUCACUGUACGUUCAAGGCCAGCCUGGGCUCCACAAUGAGUUCAAGACUAGUCUGAGGGAAUGAGAUCCUGUCUCAGGAAAAAAAAAAACAACUAGCCUGGGUUGAGGAAUGAAUGGGAUUUUCAUUCUGGCAACAUAGAACCCAGUUAUUAAAACAUGACAAGCAAGGUACAGCAGCACACACCUGUACCCCAUACUCAGGAGGCUGAGGCAGGAGAAUCACAAGUCUGAGGCCAGCCUGGGUAACUUAGACCUUGUCUCAAAAUAAAAUAAUAAAAUUAAAUGAAAUUUUAAAAGGCUAGGGUGUAGGUGAGCGGCAGAGUGCUUUACUGGCAGACACAAGGCACUGGGCUCAGCCCCGGUAGUGAAGACACAGACUCAAUAAACGAAGCAUACCUCCCUACCAAAAUAAACUGCUACAAAUACUGAAUAAAGUCUUCCAAAAUUUCUUUGUAUGAAUAGCUAAGCCGGGAAGAAAGUAAGUGAAGUCGCUCUCAAGAGCACGAAUUCAGAGAAUGAUCGACCAUUUAACCCAUUGACUUUCCUAUGGCACCUUCCAGGCCUGCUUGCUGACACCUUUAUUUUCAGCCACCAAGACUUUCAAAUGACAAAGAGAGUCCCCCUGGCCCAGUAUUGGGGAACGAGGUCAGGGCCUUCACACUGAGCUUCAUCUCCACACACAUUUCCUUUUAAAUUUAUAUUGUAUUUUGAGGCAAGAUCUCACUAAUUUGUCUGGACUGGGCUUGAAUUUAAAAUCCUCCUGCCUCAGCAUCCUAGAGUGCUGGGAUCACAGGUGUGUAGCGCCAUGCCCAGAGGUUCUUGGAAGCAGAAGGAGAGAAGUAACUUGUCAGAAAGAAGGGAUCUGCAAUAAGAUUAUCAACAGAUUCUGAUAAAAAAAAAAAAAAAAUACAGGGCCGGGGAUUUAGCUCAGUGGUUCUGCCGCCUGCCUCGAAAGCACAAGGUCCUGAGUUUGAUCUCUGGUACCAAAAACAAAAAAGAAAAAAACAAUACAGAGACUGAAAGGGAAUGGGCCAAAACAUUGAAGUGCUAAUUGAAAAAAGUUGUCAACCAAGAAUCUUACAGCCAGUAAAGCCAUCCUUCAAAGGUGAAGAAAUCAAGGCAUUCCCAGAGAAGCAAAAGCGGAGAGCACCUGUUACCCUGCAGGGCAAUGUGCGCUGGAGCCCUUCGGGGUGAAGACCUGGACGGUGGCUCGCAGGCGUGUGAACAAAUGAAGACCCCACAAGGGCAAUCGCAUGGGCAAUCCCAAGUCAGGAUCACUGUACAAAGGGCUCUCGCAAGCCGUGUCCCACAGAAUUUAAGGGACUGAUGCCUUUUAAAGAUACUACUAGUCUAGGGCCGGGGAUUUAGCUUAGUGGUUUCGCCGCCUGCUGUGCAAGCGCAGGGACCUGAGUUCGAUCCCCGGUACCCCCCAAAAUAAAUAAAUAAAAUAAAGAUAUUACUAGUCUAAAAGCAAGUGUUACAGUGUUGCAACUUUUGUUUGUGACUCCAUAUUUUGUUUUCUACAUAAUUUUAAAGACUAAGACAUUUAAGACAAUUAUAAGUUUAUGUUUGGGAGCACAUAAUGUAUGAGGCUGUAAUUCUGUGACAUUAACAACCAAAAAAGUGUCUGGACAAAGCAGUAAAGAAGCUGAGGGUUGGUAUGUUCUUGAUAUUAAGUAGGUAUAAAUCAAAUUAGAAUGUUAUAAUUGUAGGAUAUCAAAUAUAUCCCUCAUGGUAACCACAAAAAACAGGUAUAGAAUACACACAAAAGGAAAUGAGAAAAGAAUUUAAAUGUUUCAUUAUGAAAAAAUGAAUUAAAAUACAAGACAGUAAUGCAGGAAAUGAAUGGAAAAGCUAUAAAACAUGGGAAACAAGUUGCAAAGUGACAGGAGUAAGUACCUCCUUUUAAAUGUAAAUGGAUUAAGCUCUCCAACAAAAAACAGAGCCUGGCACCUGUCUGUAAUCCUAGGACUCUGCGAGAUUGAAACACAAGGACAAGUUUGAGCCCAGCCUGGGUAGCUUAGCAACUUACCCAGACCCUUUUUCAAAAUAAAAAAUUAAAGGCGUGGGGAUGUGGCUCAGCGUGAAGGCCCUGGGUU